UACAGAUAAGGAAACUGAGGCUCUGAGAGGCUAAGACGCUGACCCCGGGUUACCCAGCUAUUGUUUCUAGUUCUUCCCUUUGGGCCCAAGAACAAGAAGGCAAAUAUUUCUUCUUUCUAAGGAAGUCUGUUUUCUCCUAACUCCUUCUCAGCAUGACUGGACAACAAGCUGAGCAUGAGAUGGACCUGAAGUAGGUGGAAAGUGAAGGGACUCUUUGAUGAAUGAUAGAAAUGACUGGGUUCCAGAGAUAUGGAAAGUACACAGAUGUCCCCUGGUAUUGUUCUGCCUUUGUUCAAGUAUGGUGACAUAUAUUCUGAGAAGAAUUAUA